AUUUGUACAUCAUUGUCUUUGCUUAAUUGAACUUCUCCCCUGUGUCUCCCCUGUGUCUUCAGGAGGAAGAGGUACCAAUCCUCACAGAUGAAGAGAGGAACAAACUGGGGGCCAGGCUGGUGAAGGCAGAGAUCAUGGCUAACACGAAUGGACUCUUGGAAAGCCCUGUGUUACCACAGAGAAAGUAUGGUAAUAUCAAAAGGUUGGGGAAUGGAACAAUAUUGCCCUUUCUCAACCAGUUGAAGGUGUCCGUUGGUCCCCCCCUUGGGUUGUGCCGUGGCGGAGGUCUUUGUGGGCUAUACUCAGCCUUGUCUCAGGAUGGUAAGUUGGUGGUUGAAGAUAUCCCUCUAGUGGUGUGGGGGCUGUGCUUUGGCAAAGUGGGUGGGGUUAUAUCCUUCCUGUUUGGCCCUGUCCGGGGGUGUCCUCGGAUGGGGCCACAGUGUCUCCUGACCCCUCCUGUCUCAGCCUCCAGUAUUUAUGCUGCAGUAGUUUAUGUGUCGGGGGGCUAGGGUCAGUUUGUUAUAUCUGGAGUACUUCUCCUGUCCUAUUCGGUGUCCUGUGUGAAUCUAAGUGUGCGUUCUCUAAUUCUCUCUUUCUCUCUCUCGGAGGACCUGAGCCCUAGGACCAUGCCCCAGGACUACCUGACAUGAUGACUCCUUGCUGUCAACAGUCCACCUGGCCGUGCUGCUGCUCCAGUUUCUUUCAACUGUUCUGCCUUAUUAUUAUUCGACCAUGCUGGUCAUUUAUGAACAUUUGAACAUCUUGGCCAUGUUCUGUUAUAAUCUCCACCCGGCACAGCCAGAAGAGGACUGGCCACCCCACAUAGCCUGGUUCCUCUCUAGGUUUCUUCCUAGGUUUUGGCCUUUCUAGGGAGUUUUUCCUAGCCACCGUGCUUCUACACCUGCAUUGCUUGCUGUUUGGGGUUUUAGGCUGGGUUUCUGUACAGCACUUUGAGAUAUCAGCUGAUGUACGAAGGGCUAUAUAAAUACAUUUGAUUUGAUUGGAUUUGAUUUGAGUUGAUUUGGUACUUAAAGAAUAUGAUGUCAGAUCAGUUU
rnacentral:lncRNA from 13 species